GAAGCACUCCAAGCCUAAAUUGCAAAUAUAUUUCAUAAAACGCAGCACUGCCUCUGUCUCUAUAUAUGAAUUUGCAUUUUUUGCCCAAAGCAUCCUUUUUCAAAUGGAUGAUUUUCUAGAUUUUAAUUUACAUGCCAUUUGCAGCUAUUAAUAUAUUAUGGAGUGAGACUCACUGUGAUGAGUUGAUUGAUUUACUCGAUUUAAUGGACAUACUUCAAAGAAAUAUUUGAACAAGAGAUAUUACAUAAAUACAAGCCUGGUUGUCUAAAGCAAUAUCAAAGAACCACUGUUUCUACUAUCAGAUUCAGAUGAAUGUAGAAGACCAAGUUUUAAUCUCGAUACUCCUCUCACACACAAGCAUAGGUCUCAGACUCUAACAACCCUCCCACUAGGCUUGAGAGUGAGGCUAAAUAUAGAUCCACCACUUGUUCAGACUAAAAGGAUUGGCCCUGUAUUAAAGUACCACUCCUUUAAAGCUCAAAUGGCCUGCUCUUCCAACAAUUCCAAAAUUUAGCCUUAACUUACAAUUGCAUCAUAUUGGCCUGAGAAUUAGGUUGUUAGUGCUAAUCCAUCCCUUGCAUUGAUCUCAUUUCUACAAGUGUUGUGAAUGUAAGGAAUGUGUGGUUCCGGUUCCAAUUCGGAUCUACCUAAAAACCAGAACUGAACUG
rnacentral:misc_RNA from 1 species